rnacentral:rRNA from 1 species
CCUACGGGUGGCAGCAGUGGGGAAUAUUGGGCAAUGGGCGCAAGCCUGACCCAGCAACGCCGCGUGCAGGAAGAAGGCUUUCGGGUUGUAAACUUCUUUUCUGGGGGACGAACAAAUGACGGUACCCCAGGAAUAAGCCACGGCUAACUACGUGCCAGCAGCCGCGGUAAUACGUAGGUGGCAAGCGUUAUCCGGAUUUAUUGGGUGUAAAGGGCGGGUAGGCGGGAAUGCAAGUCAGAGGUGAAAACUAUGGGAGCAAACCAUAGCCUGCAUUUGAAACUGGAUGUCUUGAGUGCUGGAGAGGCAGGCGGAAUUCCGGGUGUAGCGGUGAAAUGCGUAGAUAUACGGAGGAACACCGGUGGCGAAGGCGGAUUGCUGGACAGUAACUGACGCUGAGGCGCGAAAGCGUGGGGAGCAAACAGGAUUAGAUACCCGUGUAGUC